CCUACGGGUGGCAGCAGUGAGGAAUAUUGGUCAAUGGGCGAGAGCCUGAACCAGCCAAGUCGCGUGAGGGAGUACUGCCCUAUGGGUUGUAAACCUCUUUUGUCGGGGAGCAAAAGCCGGACGUGUCCGGCUGUGAGCGUACCCGAAGAAAAAGCAUCGGCUAACUCCGUGCCAGCAGCCGCGGUAAUUCGGAGGAUGCGAGCGUUAUCCGGUUUUGUUGGGUUUAAAGGGUGCGCAGGCGGAUUUUUAAGUCAGCGGUAAAAUCGUGGGGCUCAACCCCAUCCAGCGGUUGAAACUGGGGAUCUAGAGUGUGCGAGAGGUAUGCGGAAUGCGUGGUGUAGCGGUGAAAUGCAUAGAUAUCACGCAGAACCCCGAUUGCGAAGGCAGCAUACCGGUGCACAACUGACGCUCAGGCACGAAAGCGUGGGUAUCGAACAGGAUUAGAUACCCCGGUAGUC
rnacentral:rRNA from 1 species